rnacentral:lncRNA from 1 species
AUUCUAACCAAAUGGGGUGCUGUGAUGGAGAACUUCCCUUUGAGUUGUGCCUUCGCCUGUGUCAAUUGGUGCUACUCUAACAGAAUACCACAGACUGAGUAAUUUAUAAAGAACACACGUUUAUUUUUUACAGUUCUGGGGUCUGAGAAGGCCAAGAUUAAGAUACCAACAGGUUUUGUCGUCUGGUGAGGUCAGCCUACGCUUCCAAGAUGGUGGCUUGUAUGCUGUGUCUUCCAGACGGGAGGAACACCGUGUACUCACGUGGCAGAAGGCAGAAGGGCAAAAGGAACAGACUCUCUCUGUCAAGUCCUUUAAAAGGGCACCUAAUCUCAUUCACAAGAGUGGAGGUCUCCUGACCUAUCGUCUCUUAAAGACCCCACCUGUUAACAUUAUGAUGUUAGCCAUUCGGUUUCAACGCAUGAAUUCCUGAGGAGACACAUUGAAACUAUCACUGUUACUACACUCCAGUUUAGCAGUUAUGGUGUACAAGUCCACAACCAGCUAAGAACAGAAGUUGAAAUGGUGCAGGCAAAUGCCACGUCUCAGGUCCUGGGAAGAG